UACGUAGGGACCAAGCGUUGUUCGGAUUUACUGGGCGUAAAGGGCGCGUAGGCGGCUUGUCAAGUCAUCUUGUGAAAUCUCUGGGCUUAACCCAGAACGGCCAAGUGAAACUGACAUGCUAGAGUGCAGAAGGGGCAAUCGGAAUUCUUGGUGUAGCGGUGAAAUGCGUAGAUAUCAAGAGGAACACCUGAGGUGAAGACGGGUUGCUGGGCUGACACUGACGCUGAGGCGCGAAAGCCAGGGGAGCGAAACGGG
rnacentral:rRNA from 1 species